ensembl:lncRNA
UUUUCCCUCCCAGACCUCUUUGGAUAGUAACAUAAAUGCUAGACACCUACCCACUGUUCCUGCCAUAAGGUCAAAGUUGGAUUAAUAGCUUUUCUCUACAAUUGAUGAAGUGUCACUGUCCAGGUAUUUUCCUGGAAGCUCCAAAGCUCAGUUCUGACUGAUUGCUACUCUAACCUGUUUCUCAUUUUUAAAUGUAGCCUGCUGCUUCUCAAAGCUCCAGAUUACUGAGUGGAGAUGACACUGAUGGACUGGACUUUGUACUGAGCAGGAAGGCUGUCUGAGUGAAGUUCCAAGCGAAGGAAACAAAACCCAUUGUUGCUAUUUGGCAGUUUCUGCUAGAGAGAGCAGUGGAAUGGAGUGAUACAUGCACGGAGUAUUUAAAAUAAGCUUGCCUCUGCACCUUCAGCUAAGGAAAAAGUGUGAUGACAAGUUGAUGACAGCUGAUGACUGAAUGAAGAGCUCAGUGGGGAUGCCUAGGAAGAGCUUGUCUUUCCCCAUUGUGUCUUCAUAGAGGACCAAGAAGUGCCUCUAAUUGUUACCAGGGACACAAAUUGUACAUAAAGUAACAACUGGACGGUGAGUCCCAGGUAACUGUGCCAGGACAGGACUUUGAUCUGACUCUUUCUAAAGCAUCUCUCAUUCCUAGUAGUCCCUCCUUGUGCUUUGUGAACUUUGAGGAAGACAGGUAGAUAGACAGGGUCAGAUCCAUGGUCCUAGCUGGACACAAGGAACUGGGAUUGGUAGAAUUGCGCCUCUGAGGACUGGAGAGGGUUCUUCAUGACAGCUCCAACCACUGUCUCCAAAGGCAGGGUUAUAUUUGGUCUGCUGGAGAGUGGGAAGCAGAUAGACGGUCUCUCCUGCCCUUGGUUACACAUAAUGAGCUUCCUGCAAGGAGGAAUAGAAAGUGCAUUUCAGAAGACAGGACUCAAGGUAGCUCUGGUGGAUUACUACACUCUUUUUGGAAAGAUGGAGAUCAUCAUGAAUACUGUUUCAGAAAAGGGCCCACCACCAGAGCUGCAGUAG